GGAGCUGUAGCCCUCUGGUAGAGCAUCUGUUUUGCAUGCAGAAGGUCCCAGGUUCAGUUCCUGGCAUCUCUA
rnacentral:tRNA from 1 species